AUGAGGAGAGACCUCCCAAGAUGGAUUAGGGAGCUCUUGCCUUGUUUGGAACAGUGGGAGCAGCCCAAGAAUCUGUUGGGAAUGGGAAGUGAAGACACGAGGGAGAGUGGCUGGUUUCAACCACCCCAUUCCUCAGGGCUGGAAUUCUCCUCCCAGAGAGGAUGCUGGAGGCUGGGAGUGCCUGGGAGUCCAGAGACAAACAAGGAAAUGGAGAAAAGGAAAAAAAAAAACCAAACCAAACCCAUCCAAAACUUACUGUCCACUCUCGCUCGUUACGUCUACGAAGACCUUGAUCCUCAUUCUGGAGCAGGAGUGGGUGAGACACCGCAAGAGAGAGAGGUUAUGGGUCUGCUCCAGCCCUGCAGCCACUCACCCAGCAGGGCUUUUGCUACAGCAGGGGAACUACAGGGCUCUUCCAGCACGGGAAAACCAGGGAGAAGAGGGAUGGAGGCGAACUGGAGCACACCUUGCACCCAGGUGUGUGUGUGUGAGCUCCUCAUUCAGGGAGACACUGAGCAGCACUGGCCAGUGAUCUGUAAAAAUGCCAUUUUCCUCCUGCUUAUCCUCCUUCCCUUCCUGCCCCAUGAUCCAGUGUCCUUUAUCCUCUCCAAGCCAUCCCUUUCCGUCCCCCAGCUGCCCCUGCUCUCAUCUACCUGGGGUGACCAGGAGGGAUUCGAGGGCCUGCAAAGCACCUCUCCAUUUGCUGCCUGCCUUUUCUCCUCUCCCUUCCCUUCCUUUAAACCCACAGGUCCUUCCUGCUGCUGGGAAAUGAAGGGGAAGGAGCAAGGCAGAACCUGGAGUCACCACAACCUCAGAAUACACAGGAGUGAGGGAGGGCUGGAGCCAAGGAGAGGGGCACCAGUGGCAUUUCCUUGGCCAAAAACUCUUGGAAUAAUCCAGCAAAGGGAGGAAGGCAAAGCUUGUUCCUUUGCAAAGCGUGGCCGGACAACACAACCCACCCCUUGCCUGGCUGUGGCAGCACGUCCUGCCUGUGCCAUCUGGGAAGAAUCCAGCGAAAUCAGCACUGCUUGGCAGCCUUCUCUCCCUCACCAGUCCCAAACUGGAGCAGCCAGCUGCCUGCCCAAAGGAUGCAGCGAUUUAGCAGGGGAUGGGAGCAGGCUGCUGGGGCAGAGAGCCAGGGCACAGCACAGGUACGUGCUGGGUGAGCCUGACGCCUCUCCCGGCUGUUGGGAAGGAUGA
rnacentral:lncRNA from 1 species